CCACUGGGACAGAGCUUUCCCUCGGGCAUUUAAAGCAGCAGCAGACACCAGCCUCGUCAUCCUCGGGAUCUGCAUAAGUGUGUCCAGCUGGGAAAAGGACCUGUGGGCUCAGGGUCCUUCCCAGCAGGGAAAUACAAUUUCAGAAGCAGCUUCUUCCCCGUACAAGGGGCUGGGUCAGCAGGGAUGAGGAAGGAAGCAGUGGGAGGGAUGAAGGAGCUGAGCCGUGCCAGGCCCGUGCAGCUGCAGCCAAGCCAGAUCCUGCAGGAGCCUCACUCUGUGCUGCAGAGGGGAAUAUUAGGAGCUCCCACUGAGGUGGCUUUUAGCCCCAGGACUUUCUGCUGGGAUAUUCCUCUCCAAGAGCUGUGAUUACACAAGCCACGCUCUCUGCCUGAUCCAGCCUUGAUGGACAGAUGGGCAGUUCAGGCACAGGUCACAUCCACGAGGAGCCUUGGUCAAAGAAAAUAUAUGAUAAAUUGAUUUUAUUUAUUUUUUUGGUCUUUGGAGAGGAAGCAGAAACAGCUGUAUCUCAUUUGGAGAGGAAAUCCAGGCCUCCCCUGGACGCUCGGUGGGUGCCAGGGAGGUGAGCUGUCAGCAGACACACUCUUCUCUCCAUUUGAACAGUAAAUCUCUGUGUGCUGCGGUGUGACUGCACAGACAGGCAGCACUGUGGCUUCCAAGGCUUCUCAUCUCUCAUGCUUUUGGUUCUGAGCCUUGGUGGGAGCUUGGGACAGGCGGGGAUGGUCCCUCCCCUCCCAGUGUGGUGAUGCCCUGGCUGUGCUGCUCCUGCAGCAGGGAGAGAGAGAAGCUGAGAGCAAAUCCCAGCUUUUAUCCCCUCUGGGACAGCAAAAGCUGUUGGGUGCUGGUGCCCAGCACAAAACUUCCCUGCUUUGGUGACCUGAAAUGCCACCGUUGGUGACCCUGAAGAAAAGGGCUGUGCUUCCUCUGCCAUUAUUUCCUAAGCUUGGGCUGAGAUCAGACCGUGG
rnacentral:lncRNA from 1 species